AGCAGCCGCGGUAAUUCCAGCUCCAAUAGCGUAUAUUAAAGUUGUUGCAGUUAAAAAGCUCGUAGUUGAAUUUCGGGAUCAGUACGCUGGUCGUGCCUUCGGUAUGCACUGGUGUCACUGGUUCCUCCCUUCUGACGAACCGUCAUGCCAUUCACUUGGUGUGGCGGGAAAUCAGGACUGUUACUUUGAAAAAAUUAGAGUGUUUAAAGCAGGCUCACGCUUGAAUACAUUAGCAUGGAAUAAUGAAAUAGGACGUUGAUCUUAUUUUGUUGGUUUCUAGGAUUGACGUAAUGAUUAAUAGGGAUAGUUGGGG
rnacentral:rRNA from 1 species